rnacentral:lncRNA from 1 species
UUUAUUUAUUCAUUUAUUUAUUUAUUUAUUUAUUCAUGUGUGCAUUUGUAAAAUAGUUUCAUUUGUGGUCAAAUUGUUUUGUGUGUGGAUUGAAACAGGCUUUCGUGAGUCCUCGGAGGUUUCACACAAAUCACUGCACAUAUUUUUAAAUGUUAGUCUUAGCACAUGAAUGAUUUGUGUUUCCUCUGCAGGUGAAGGUAGAAAGUGUGUGUGAGCUGAAUUGAGCAGCAUGGAUCAGUGUGAGGACAGAGAGGAGGGAGUCCCUCCCUCUAAAAGCACUCUGUGUGGGGAACAUGAGAGCCAGACCAAAGCUCAGAGGAACCAACCAGGAACCAGACACAAACAUGAACCUGAACCCAGCUGUGUGUCCUUACAGAGUGACUGGUCUAAAGGUCUCUCCAUUGAUUUUAAAGUCCAGCCUGUGUCUGCUGCAGAAAGGAUCCAUGGAAGACCUGCUGGACCUGAACCUGAACCCAGCUGUGUGUCCUUACAGAGUGACUGGUCUAAAGGUCUCUCCAUUGAUUUUAAAGUCCAGCCUCUGUCUGCUGUAGAGAGGUGAGCUGUUAGGAACAUGAACUCUUUAACUGCUUGAUGUUGUUGGAUAGAAACUGCAAACACAUCAUUCCCUCAAUCCCAUUUAAACAUCUCUUAAAAACAAGCCUUUGGUUUCUAAAGAGCUGAAAAUCCACCUCAGCAAACAGGAAGUGAUGAUCGUGCUCAUGUUUUCUUCCAUCAGUCAUGUUGUGCUGCAAUGUUCCCUCUAAUUUUUCAUGUGUCUGAGCGAACACACAAAUUCCCUGAGCGGUCCCGUGGAUCACUGUGAGCGACAUGAGACGUGUGCACUGUGGUCACGCCAGCAUCGAAUCCAUCCAAGUUACAUGGUUUAUUAAAAUAAUCAAAUUAUAGCAUUUACAUUUAUGUUAGACUACUUUGAAUUAACUGCUUUAGCCCACUUACAGUGGAAAUGUAUUUAGCGUUAUUUUGUUUUCAUUUUUAGUGUUAACUCGGUUUUCCUCAAUCUUUUCACCUGUGUUAUGAAUAAAUCUUCUUUUUUUCGGUACUUGUACUGGUUUCACUCCUCAUCAGCCACGCCGCUUUGCCAGCUAAAACACCGGUGUGGGCACAUAACGACGCUGCCGUAGCCUGUCAACGACAUUGAUUAGCAGCUGUUAAAAUCCGGGUUCAAUUUAUUGAGGGAGAGCACAAAAACAACAACUGGUCCAGAAGAGUCGGUCAAACAAUGAUUUUUAAUGAACACACGCGUGGGAGAUGUACACUGCAACAUCAGCUGUAAAUCUCACCCCAAAACUGCACAAUAAAUUGUUUUAUAACAUCAGGGCAUUUUUAAUGACGCCCCCUCAUGCGUCAAGAAGAUACAUACAUGAGUUUCAAAAACACACAUGUCCUGUUGACAACUUUUGAGACAUUUAAAAGGACUUCUUCUUCUUCCCGAGGCCAGGCCCUUCCCGGUAAUCUUCUAACUCUGCUUAUUUCCUAGAACAAACUUUCUCUCCUGCAGUACAUAAUCUUACAGUUACAAGGUUUUGCAAAGUAUUAUUUGAAUACUCAUGUUUAGGUAAGAGUUCAACUACUGUUUGUGUGUGCGUGUGUGUCUCGACCUCAGCAUCCACUCGGCCUCCCUCCGCCCGUUGAUGCCUCUGACCUUUUGCCAGACAGAAGCUCUCUGUGAUAUGUGUAAUAUUCUUAACUAAGAACAUAUAUAAUCUAUUGAAUAAAUGCUUUACCAAAAUGCCACUACUCAAAGCUUAAAAAAAGGAUAUAAAUGAAUAAGAAAUACUAAUUG